rnacentral:rRNA from 1 species
GAUGAACGCUGACAGAAUGCUUAACACAUGCAAGUCGACUGGAAUUCUUCUUCGGAAGAUAGUACGGUGGCGGACGGGUGAGUAGCGCGUAUGCAACCUACCUCUAACUGGAGAAUAGCCCGGAGAAAUCCGGAUUAAUACUCCAUAGUAUCACGGAUUCGCAUGUUUCUGUGAUUAAAGCUUCGGCGGUUAGAGAUGGGCAUGCGUCCCAUUAGUUUGUUGGUGAGGUAACGGCUCACCAAGACUACGAUGGGUAGGGGGCCUGAGAGGGUUAUCCCCCACACUGGUACUGAGACACGGACCAG